rnacentral:tRNA from 1 species
GAAAGACUAGCUCAACGGUGGAGCAAUUGGCUGUUAACCAAUAGGCUUGGGGUUCGAGUCCCCAGUCUUUCGCCA